UAGACUUUGUCCCCUGCUCAGUCUC
rnacentral:piRNA from 1 species